rnacentral:rRNA from 1 species
GACGAACGCUGGCGGCGUGCUUAACACAUGCAAGUCGAACGGAAAGGCCCUGCUUUUGUGGUGUGCUCGAGUGGCGAACGGGUGAAUAACACGUGAGUAACCCGCUCUUGACUUUGGGAAAACUUGAAGAAAGUGGGGCUAAUACCGGAUAGGAGCUCCUGCUGCUUGGUGGUGGUUGGAAAGUUUCGGUGGUUGGGGUUGGACUCGCGGCUUAUCAGCUUGUUGGUGGGGUAGUGGCUUACCAAGGCUUCGAUGGGUAGCCGGCCUGGGGGGGUGACCGGCCACAUUGGGACUGAGAUACGGCCCAGACUCCUACGGGAGGCAGCAGUGGGGAAUAUUGCACAAUGGGCGGAAGCCUGAUGCAGCAACGCCGCGUGCGGGAUGACGGCCUUCGGGUUGUAAACCGCUUUCGCCUGUGACGAAGCGUGAGUGACGGUAAUGGGUAAAGAAGCACCGGCUAACUACGUG